CACAGGCAAGACAAGAAAAAAAGUUUCAAUAUGAUAAAAAAAAGCAAGAUACAAUCAUUCAGACUUCUCAAACUCUAACCCAAUGAGUUUCCCAAAUAUCUGAAUUCUCAAAAUAUUACAAUAUUUAUACCAGUCCAUACCGCUCAAAGAAAUCAGCGGGGAACUUCGAGCCCAAACCUAUUGGCCCAUGCCCCCUUAUUGCCAUCACAGAUUUUACUUUUUAUUCCAAUCGAGUGGCAGUGCGAAACUUUCGUGUCAGAUCACAAUUCUAGUCCAUAAAUACAAAUUCAAAAUUCAAGCCACAUAAAAAUAACAUUUAGAUAUUUGCUACCAAGAGGAAACCAUUGAUUAUGAUGAAUACUUCUACAAAGAGAAAGAUCUGCAGUAAUCUUAAACAUCCUCUCCAUCAACAGGCUUGAUGUAAAAUAUUUAUGGAAGAGCAGAGCCUACAGGAACAGGGAAGAUCCCAGCAUUAAAUAUUAGAAGUAAAACAGGAAACAUCAGAAGAAUAUUUACCCAACUGAUUUUAAUUAUAUGAUUUUGAAGACAGCUCCAUACUAAUAUACACUUCAAACUUUAAUGAAAAGGGGUUCAUUGCAUAGCUUUGAUUAUGCAAAUGUGAGCAUCGAAAUUUAUUAAAUAAAUGGCAGGAUAUUUCCAUUCCAUAUUUUGGAUGAAACCAUCACAAGGUGAAAACAACCUGCUUUGAAAAUCUAGAGAAGAAAAAAGAUGUGUUCGCAUUAUUGUACCUUCAUAGAUUCUCAACAUGAGAAAAGAAUAUUAUUCCAUAAACAUCUUCAAUCUAUGAUCUUGACCGCAAUAAACCUACCAAAUAGAAGUUUGAUAUCAAAACAUAAAGAAGGAACUAAAGAAAAAUAUUAUUUUGCUGAAACACUUGGCAUUACACUUUGUUCCCUGUUCUUGAUUAUUUAUAAUAAGGCUAACACUAAUUAUAGAUGUAAGAGGCAUGUGAAGAUGAUAAGCAUUCCAAAACAAAUCUUCCCUGGAAUCUUUGUAAUAUGAAAUAACUGAUUCCUGGUGUCUGAAAUUUAAGACAACACCAAUGCAGAAUGCUCAAUUGGAUGUUAAUUUGAGAAGUAGCAUGUGUUAAUAGUUAUAUUUAUAUAAUAUCAAAUCAUAUGCAAAUUACUACUAGAAACUUCAAUUUAACAUAACUGCAAUAAUAUAAUAGCAUGCUGAAAAUCUCAAUAUGACAAGAAAUGAUCUAAGUAAUACCUAUAUAAAAGUUAAUUCCUUGAGUUUGCUUGCCAGAUUGAACUCCAUUGCAAUCUUGCUCCAAUCUCAAUAAUGCAAGAUUUCACUCUGCAUAUCUGUUCAUGCAAGUUCCAAUCUUGCUAACCUAUCUUAAUUUAUAGGACAUCUGUGAAUGUCUGGCAUGUAUGCAAAUGAGUAGUUGUUGCAGCAUAAGCACAAUGAAGUCCCCCAAAUGGGCAGGACAUAAACCAUUGUAGAUAUUGGCAACGAACAGAGGCCAUUUCAUUCCAUCUCACGAAUGAACAGAUCUGGCUUGCUGCAGCUGGUUCUUUCUUGAGAGAUCACAUGCUCAGGAUUGGAACUAAAGCAUUCUCAUUACAGAUCAAGAUUUUUAUUUUCACAGAAUCUAGUGAAAACUUGAGUGCAUCUAAAAGGCAACUCUUUUUGUCUUCCUUGAGAAAAGCCAACAGUCAAAAUCUUAUAUCUUGCUUCUUAGCAGAACAGGAAAUGAUAAGAGUUUUCAUGAACAUCUCUCAUGGGAUAUAAGAGUAUUGCAAUAUAUUGACAACGCAAAGAAAGCAUGAAGGGUUCUUCCAGUCACACUUGAUACCACACAUUUCAUAGAUUCACUGGUUCAUUAAUCACUGAUUCUAAUGCUUGGGAUGUGAGCAAUCUUGUGCCUAUCUGCACCAGCCACAUCAUUGCGGCAUCGUUCUGACAGCUGAGGACAGUUAUCAAUCUCCAAAACUUGCAAUGCAGUGAGGUUGCCCAUCCAUUCCGGUAAGGACAUCAAAUUAGGGCAACUUUUGAUUGAGAGUUUCUGCAAAGUGGUAACAUGUUGAAGCCCCUCUGGGAGACGGGUCAACUUCUGAAAAUUUGUGAUGACAAAGUGCUGGAGGUUUCUAAGCCACUGCCACUGAGUACCACUAUCAUUCUCAUCAUCCAACAAUUGCUCCUUGCACCCUUCAAUGUUAAGAACCUGAAGGGAGGUUAAAUGUCGAAUAGCAUUAGACAGAGUUGUUAUUCUUAGGCAAUCCACAAUGACUAGAUGUCGGAGAGAAGUGAGGUUUUGCAGUAACUCCUCUGGUAGAAAUUCUAGAUCCUCUAUUUUCUCAAUUCUCAGGGUUGUCAAUCGAGAGAGAGGAGGACAUUGUGACACCGAAAUCUUGACCUUCAGUAUGUCCUCCAAUGACUU
rnacentral:misc_RNA from 1 species